CAGAGGGCGCGAGCGUUGUCCGGAAUCACUGGGCGUAAAGGGCGCGUAGGUGGCGGCAUAAGGCCGUGGUGAAAGUCCGGGGGCUCAACUCCGGAUCGGCCAUGGCAACUGUGUCGCUAGGGCACCGUAGAGGCAGAUGGAAUUCCGGGUGUAGCGGUGGAAUGCGUAGAGAUCCGGAAGAACACCAGUGGCGAAGGCGGUCUGCUGGGCGGUGGGGUCGAAAGACUCCAAUAGCCGACACUGAGGCGCGACAGCGUGGGGAGCAAACAGGAUUAGAUACCCUGGUAGUCCACGCCGUAAACGAUGGGCACUAGGUGCUCCGGGGAGCGACCCUUGGAGUACCGGCGCUAACGCAUGAAGUGCCCCGCCUGGGGAGUACGGCCGCAAGGCUG
rnacentral:rRNA from 1 species